rnacentral:tRNA from 1 species
AUUUAAAUAGUUUAAGAGAAAAAUUUUAGUUUGUGGGACUAAGGAUGUGUUAAUUACUUUAAAUA